rnacentral:lncRNA from 9 species
UUUUUCUUUUCUUUUCUUUUUUUUUUUUGUCAUUUUGCCUUUUUCUAGGGCCACACCCGCGGCAUAUGGAGGUUCCCAGGCUAGGGGUUGAAUCAGAGCUGUAGCCACCAGCCUACGCCAGAGCCACAGCAACUUGGGAUCCGAGCCGCGUCUGCGACCUACACCACAGCUCACAGCCACACCAGAUCCUUAACCCACUGAGGAAGGCCAGGGAUUGAACCCGCAACCUCAUGGUUCCUACUCGGAUUCAUUAACCACUGAGCUGUGGUAUAGGUCAUAGACGCGGCUCAGAUCCCGUGUGGCUGUGGCUGUGGGGCAGGCUGGCAGCUGUAGCUCCAAUUCGACCCUAGCCUGGGAACUUCUAUAUGCCACAGACAUAUAGACCCUAAAAAGACAAAAAGACAAAACAAAACAAAACAAACCCAGAUGUUCACAGUGUAGCCUGAGGACCACAGCAUGGAAGCCGGUUCACAUCUCAGGCCCCACCGCAGGCCUAAUGAGUCAGAACCUGUAUUUUAACAAGGGCCCAGGUGAUUAAUUUGCAUAUUAAGAGUUUGACAAGGCUGUGGUGUGUUCCCCUAGCUGCCCAGACUUUCAAUUCCUCAAAUUCUGCUUCAGCUUCCCCAGCCUCUAUUCUCCCUAAUUAAGACUCUGCAUCACACACUGGCCCUGGUGCAAUGGUUUCCUGAUGGAUCUUGCUGGUUCUAGCUCUGAGCACCCUUUGCAUUGCCCACAGUUAGCCCUUCAUCAUGCCCCUGCACCUCUCUUCCUCCAGAACCUUCUGGGGACCACGCGGACUGCAGGGGCACAUUUACUGGGUGUGGAUUUUAAGACGGAGCCUCAGAGGCUCUCCAACCUGCUUGCUCAUUACCAAUUCAGCUUUUCCUCCUCUCGCCCUCUCUCCCUGUCACAGGAAUCCUCUGCCCAUCAGGCAGCUCCAGUUCUUAAGAAGAUUAUAGCCCUGUGAUGAAAAGACACUUAACAUAAGAACCAGUGAUGCCCAGACCAGGGGCGGUGGGAACACAGGAGGGGGGAAGCUAACUACCUGGGGAAAAGUUCCAUGGAACAUGUUCUGUUUGAGCUGAAUCCUAAAAGCUCAGGGCGGCUUGGCCAGUAGACAAGGUGGAGAAGGCGAAUGCACAGCCCAGGAGUGUGGAAGGAUACAGGGGUUCCAGGAACAACUGUAAGGAAUCUGGAAAGGUUGAGGGUGGGUGGGCAUCAAGCUGGAGAGGCUGCAAGGCAGGCAAGGAAUUGGGAUUUAACUCUCUUGGAGACCAUGGGGCCUCCUGAAGGGUCGCAGUAGGGGAGGAGCGUAAUCUCGCUUUCUCCAUCUUUUUAAAUCCUGCCCUUUCUUCGAGGCUCUGAGAAGCCUUCCCUGACUGCCCCAUCACGAUGCCUUCUCUUUCUGGACUUCUACCAUGCCACUUUUAACAUCCUUUCUUGGUAGGAUGUUUGUCAACUUUCAUGUGGCAGCGUUUUAACUCCUUCCCUAAAUUAUGAGUACUGUGGGGUAAGGAGCUGUGUCUUAUACAGCAUUAGACACAGUGCCUGGCACACUGCAGGUACUAACAAGUUUGGUAAUCUCUCCUUGCAGCAUUUCUUUCACAAGCCUGGCAGUAAUGACUCUGAUCCACCACCAGGGGGCACCAAGUUGUAUCGCUCAGGUCACAUUCCAGCUGCAGACUAGAGCAUCCUUGUUGAAGACCAAUUUGAUUUUGCUCUGAUGCAAGCAAGGUAAGCCAUGCCUCAGGGCUGCAAUGGGGCUUUUUUUUGGGGGGGGGUAAGUGAACCUCAGCCUUGGGGCGACAUAUAUCUUCACAACAACACUCCCCUUCUCCUGCUUCCCCUCCAUGUGGGCUGCUUAAGCAAGAGAGAGGCCUAGGGACCUCAAGUUGGGGGAGGCAGCAGUGGCCCACACUACUGAAAGUCUUGGCCUAGUCCCCUGGGAUGUGCCCAGGCUGUGUUUUCGGAAACAGAGAAUAAUGAAGCCAUAUAAGAACAGAGCCCUCCCUCUUUCAGGACCACGAAGGCUGUGUAGCAGAAGUGGCCUGGAAAUGGGGCGCAGGGCAGUGCGGCAGUGCCAUGGAUCCGAAGGCCCUUCGAGACCCAACUGUGCCACCUAGCAGAUACCCCAUCUUGGAAGCGGACCUUCUUUCUCACUUAUAAAAGAGAGAUACACAAAAAACCCAGUUCACAAAUCUGAUUGUAAGGGAAAAGAUUCAUGUAUGUGAGGGCCCCUUGGAAACUCUAAGAUAUCCUUCAGACAUAGUUAUUUGUGGGGAAAAGGAAGGCCCGGAGGUUUUGUGGCCACUUAGGUCUGGCCUGAUCAUCAUAAACCAAGAAAGCACAUGUCAAGGGCAUGUGGUAAACUAGCCAGAUCCCAGGCAGCUUUGCCAGGGCCCGGCCCUGAUGGUGCACCGUAGCAUUUAAAUUCCUACCCCAGUGGCUCUCUGGGAUUUCAGGUGGGCUCAUUUCCUCUUUGCAAAUGAUCACAAUAACUCCCUGAAUCUAAACAGUAUUCUGUAGUUUACAUGUUUCCCUUUCUCUCCCCAUUUACAACAGGCAGGCUCUAAGAUGGCCCCAAAUGAGCCUGCCCCCCCAGCAAUCAUGCCUUGGGUACCUCCCUCCCCUGGAGGGUGGGUGCCAGUGUGACUUGCUUCUUAAUAGAAUACAGCAAAGAGGACGGGAUGUUUUCUGUUCGUCGACUCUAUGAAACUCUGACUUUCCUCUUACUGGCCAAGACAUUCUCCCUUGCUGGUUUUGGUUCAGCCAGUUGCCACGUUAGGAGGGCCCAUGUGUUAAGGAACCGAGGGUGGCUUCUGGCCUUCAGUUCAACAGACAACAAAAGCUGAAGCCCUCAAUCUAAUGGUCCCAAAGGAACUGAACAAUCACAUAAUUGAGAGCAGAAGAGCUGAUCCUUCCCCUGUCAAGCUUUCAGAUGAAACGGUAACCCCAGUGGACUCCUUGAACGCAGCCUCAGGACACACCCUGAAACACUGCAACCAGCGGGCCACGCCUGGAUUCCUGACCCACAGAAACUGUGAGAUAAUUGGUGUGGGUUGUUGCAAGCUGCUAAGUAUGUGGUGGUUUGUGAUACGGCAAAAGAUAACCACUACACCUCCUUUGAGCCUUACCAAAAAAACCCUACAGGAGGAAAAGCCACAGCUUUACGCAAUUUGCAUAAAAGUCAUACAGUAGCAAGUGUCUGAGUCAGGACCCAAAGGCAAGUGGCAUGGAGUUUUGUCACAACAGCUGCCCGAUUAACUUCCUGAGGCUUUGAGAACAAGGUUCCUCUGUUUUCUUGCAGGGCUGAGCAGGUCUGCAUAGAUGGAAUCAGCGAGGACUGAUUCAUGGGCUGAGGGCAGCCAGAGAGGACAAACCUGGUGCCAACUGCAGACCCCCAGGGUCUGCCCUCUGUAACCAGGGCUUUCUGGGAGCUCCUUCUCCACCAACACUUCUCUCCAUCCAGGGUCUUGGCACCAUCUCCUGAGGUUAGGGGGAGGGUGGCCUGUGCCUCACACUUACGUGAAAUGGCUGGAGCAGCGACGACCCAGUCACGCAGGCUGUGGCUGAGUGGACAGCAGCUGGGGGUGUGUCAUGGCCAAGGGCAUCAGUCCCUGCCAGAGAAGAGAGGGGAGAAGGGUCAGUGAGAGCUGGAGAGGAAGGCUGAAAGGAUGGAGGUGCAUGCUGGCCCCUGGUUGUGACCCCAGGACUCUGGAGUGGAUGUCCCCAAGGGGGCUUGUUUCCUGAUCUCCGCUGCUGCCUUGGUUGGAGGUCCCCCGGCCUAAAAAUCUGAGAUCAGUCCUAUAAGGCCACAUCCUAUCCUGUCCUUGUUUCCUUCCCUCAGUGCUGCUGCUGGGAACCCUCUGCCUGAUGCAACAGCAGGAUGCUGGACAAGAGCCUCUGUCUGCCCUGGGAAGGGAGGCUAAGGGGAGGAAGUCCAGCUGCCUCUUUCAUGCUCCAUUGGCAGUGCUGGAAGGGCUGGCAGUUUUGAGUCCGGUCCAAGAGCGCCACCUGGAGGAGCGAGAAGGACCCCCCCCCCAACUCCGAGUCCUGGAGGCUGGAGGUGGCCUGCAGAUGCCAAGGGGCUGAGCAAGGAGCUGCCAAGGACUCCUGGAAUAGAGGUGAUGCGCUCGCCUGGGGUAAAGGCCUGGCAGGGAACUCCAGAAGAGCCCCCCAAAGCAUUCACAAAAGCAAGAGCCAGUCUGAAGUUUCUCCUUGCUCUCUAACCAGUAAGAAUUCUCCAUUUCCAUCCUGGCAGCUGAUGAAACAGCAGCUCUCGGGGAUGGUGGGAGAGAGGAUAAGAGUUGGGGGAGGGUAGAUGGCAGAGGACAUUGCCACCACCCCAGCCACUUCCAGCCUGAAGCAGAUUCAAACUGGAGGAAAGGAAACGAUUAAAGCUGUCAGAUGGGGAGUAGUCUGAGUAUCACUCAUGACUGACAUUCUAAUUUCUGAGCUGAAACUGUAUCUGUACCUUAGAGUGACUAUAAGACUAUCACCUAAGAGUGAAUGAAAAAGCAAUGGGGCUGGCCCAAGCUUCUAUUUAGGGGAAGGAGCCAAUUUCUCCCACUGAAUACACUUUAAAGGAUUACUUGAGGAAAAAAAAAAAAUCAAAGUUGCUUUUUGAGCAUAAACCACUCAACACGCUUGUUUAACAAACCAGUUACUUAUAGAAAAAUGACUUGUGGAAAUGGACGCAUUCUAAGAGAUCUGGCCAAUAUCGCUAUUACCUAGAUGCAGAAACCAAGUUCAGAGAGGACAAGUGACUUACUUAACCACACACAGCAAGAUGGAGAGAGAGCUGGAGAAGCACUGGGGAGCAGAGCCUCUCGCCCCUGUCAUGAGGAUGCGGUCUCUCCUUCCAGAACCUUUGCACUUGUCUCACCAGGAGCUUAGGUGACCCCUGAAGUAGGAUUUCUCAAAUUGGCUUGAUGGCAACAAUCACCGGGGCCACAUGUUAAACAGAGACUCCAGACCUACUGAAGCGGCGUCUCCAGGGGCGGGGCCCAGGAAUCGAUCUUCAACACGGUUGAGUCUUACCAUCUGGCCCUUCUGGGAAGUGAUGCAGGAAUGAAGGUCUUUGGGAGGAUUUCAAGCUGGAGGCAGCAGGGGUGGUGGGUGACCUUGCAGAGCCUGUGGCAUCACCCUCUGCUGCCCAUAACAAGACUGGCUCUGGAUGCUGUGUCCUUGGGGCAAGAAGGCCAGAAGGAGAAGGAGGGGAGCACGAGGAGACCCAAGAUACCUGGUGUCUCCGGGUGGGAUGGAGCCAAUAAACAGGUCAGGAUGCAGGACUUUAAGGCCAUUCUUCCAGUAAAGGCUGGGAGCACAUUAAAAGCCUCCCUGACAGAAGGUGUUGCAAAUAGGUUUCCCCCUCCCCAUAAGGUGCAGGGGUCUGUGCUCUCUCUCAAGGGCCCCUGCCCUCAAUGACUUCAGUGCCCCAAGGCAGGGUGACCUCCCUCACUGCCUCCCUCACCCCCUCAUGGUGGCAGGAAAUGCUGCCGCAGCUGGCACCAGCACAUGUAAUUAAUGAUCAGCUGCCCUCUGCACCCUGCUCGGCCCCCUCAGGAGCACAAGUUAAUUGGGGCCAAAGCACCGGCUGAGCUCAAUUUCUUCCAAUGCAAUUAAGCCUUCUCCAAUCAUUUAUUAACUCGUGAAAUUGACACAGCAGGUUAACAGCCUGGAAGAAGAGGAGCAGUUUUUUUUUUUUUUUUUUUUCCCCCUUGUUUCCUGUCUUCUUGGACCUCAGUGCUCAGGCAGGGCUGGCCAAGGGGAUCAGAGGAAAGGGAUCCUUUUAAUUUGGCCAAUACCAAGCCUGGACCCCUGGGAUAAGCGUGGGAUGAACUGGUGGUCAGAUUGGUUCCUCUGCCCAAGAUGAAGUACUACAGCCCAAGAGGCAUGUGGUUUGGGAAGAGGGGGCUAAGAGAUACAAGGAACUUUCUGCAAAUCGUCAAAGGAAAAAAGAAAACCUCAAUAUAAUAAUGAGCAGUGGACAGGUGGUUUAUUUAAAAAGCAAUCCAAAGGCUGACAAGAAAAUGAAGAGACGCCCACACUUAUAAAUAAUCCGAGAAAUGCGGGAGUUCUCUUCUGGUGCAGUGGGUAAAGGAUCUGGAUUGUCAGUGCUGUGGCUCAGGUUGCUGCUCUGCUGCAGGUUCGUCCCUGGCGGGAGAACUUCCGUGUGCUUUGGGCAUGGCCAAAACAAUAAUCUGAGAAAUGCAAACUGAAACCACAAUGAACUAUCACCCUCUACAGGGAGACUGGAAAAAAUUAGGAUGGUGGACAGUGUGCCAAGUGCUGCAGCACAUGUGGGAACUUAGGGGCACGGCUGGUGGGAUGUAGUUAGGACAGCUGUUGAGGGAGAGACCUGGCACUCCUUGGUCAUACGGAGUUCACACAUACCCCACGAAAGAGCAAUUCCGCUCCUGGGUCUGUGUCCCCCAAAUUUCUCAACAUAUCCAUAAGGGGCUAUGUGUGAAGAUGUUCAUUGCUGGGGGGGAAUUGGAAGCAAGCUCAGUGGUCAUCACUGGAAUCAGGUAGACGCACACCUCAGAGGACAAGGCAACUCUAGAAAAGCAAUGGACCAGAUGGACUCCAGGAGCACAGAGCAACCAGGAUCAAUUGUAGCAGGGGGCUAAGUGAAAACAAAC